AAGCCAUAUUGAAUAAAAGAGCUGGGUUUAUAACUACAAAAAAGUUUUGUUUCAGUGUUGGGUGGGUUUAUGGAAGAGAAAGAGUAAAGCAUCUGUCAGAAGCAAUUUGUAUGUAAAUUAAAAUGUAACUCAUAAAUAUCAUAAAUUUAUAUUAUGCUUAACAUUUUCUGGUUUCAUUUAUUUUGUUAUUGUGCUUUUCAAAAUAACAAUUUAGGGUGUUUGGAAAAACAAUUAGAGAAACCGUGUAACCUGGAUUAGAAUGGGGAGAGAUGAUUUUUUUAAAGGAAAACAAAGGUGCGUUUUAUAUGAAUUAUUUCCGUUUCCCAUGGCGAAUCAAAACCUGGGCAGUGUGAGAGCACUGUCCCCUCAGGAAUGAGAGCCUCGGGCCAGGAGUCCGGGUCCAACUCAGAGGUCUGAGUUUAGAUCUGGAAAAAGAGUGGAGUGCAGUGGUUAGGGAUGUAGCUACUUAAUCAUGCUGGGCCUCGGGUCCUUAUCUGUAGAAGAGGAAUGUAGUCACAGUGCCACCCAUGGGGCUUUGUGGGUGAUGGCACAAGCUGCUAGGACAGGGCUGCAACAGAGAGGGGGCACAGUACACAUUAGCAUCUCUGUCACCAUCACGUCAUCCUGGUUUUGCCUUAAAACUGGUGUCGAGUUUUGCCCAAACCUCUAACCCCUCUCUGUACUCUGAAGAUUGUUAUUAGUCAACACCCUUUCAGAGCGAAGGGGUGCAAACUUAUAUAUCUGGGGUGGGAGGAAUGACAGAAACCUAAGUAAGCUAUUGACCGUAUUCUUCCUCGAACGAAUAACCACUCUUGAUAAGUGAGUUAGCGAUGUGUUGUUAGCAGACUUAUGAUUUGUAAAAAUAUAGUCAAAACUCUGACACUGGUGAGUCUAGGAGAGAAAUGAGAAAGAGAAAUACUUCUGGCAUGUGAACUUGGAAAGUCAAGGCUAGUGCAAAUACUGGUGAUAUUUAAUCAUGAUGCUCAGCGUGUCUGUACCUUGCUAAUGAUGUUAAACCAUGAAGCCUGUGAGAUCUUGUGUUGCAGUGUGGUUUGGCCCUAGAACUCUUGCAUGCUAACCCAAAGUAGAAGAUUAGCCUGUUGCAUGCAGCCGGAUGCUGCCCCUGACGAGACAAGCAUGUUGUGGAGGUUGACGCAACUCAACCUCCAUUGGCUGAGUUCCUCCCCAGUCCUGUGUGUGGCCUCAUUCACUGUGAUAUUAGGUUGAAAAAGCUUGUUGAUGAACGGGAAUGCUUAUUGGAACAGGUAACAAUCUUUUUAUUACUUUUAUGAGUUCCCUAACUGGGCACCAGAAACCAUGAACUUUCCCUUCCUUACUUCUUGCUUCAUCGAGACACCCCUAACACAUCAUGCCUGUAAAGGACUAUCAAGCCAACUGGCACUCUUAAUAUUUUUAUCGAAGUAGAAAAUCAGAAGUCACAUGACGUUUGGAGAGGAUGUCUCAAAGACUCAAGGCCAUGGAACUGAAUUUGCUACACUCUCCAUGAUUUGCUACUUAAAUAUUUAUGUAGAAGGCCUGGAUUAACCAUUGAGAGGCAAGGAAGUUGGAGUCAUUCCAGACAUCACUCCUCUUGCUUCUACUGGCCUGUCAAAGUCAGCUUUGUAAUCUCUCAGUGAUCAGCACCCGUUUCCGGAAGAUAAUUUCUUCGUUUUAGCUGAUCAAAGUCGUUUCAACUGUGGUCCCUCACACUUUUCUACCUCAAGAAAUACUAAACAGUUGUCCUAUUUGGUCUUUCUUGCAUGCAGGGCUGUUAUUAAAUCAUUCCACAGUCACUUUGGAAGGGAAAUCAAUUCUUCCCAUUUUCCCUCACAAGUCCUAAUCAAAGGUAUUUGCCUUACUUUUUACAAUUCCAUUGAAGAUUUCUCUCAAAAUGGGGGAAGGUACCAAAUUGUGGUGGGAGGAUUCUUUUGAAGUUCCUGCGACCUUUUACAAACAGUAUCCAUGGCAAUUCUGUGCUUAUUUUCUUAAAGCAGCAUGCACCAAUGGUUGUAUGUGCUUGGGGGCCUGCUCUGCUUGUCUCAGUGUGUGUCGGGACUUCCAACGAGUCCACAGAGAUUGAAGGUUAACAGGAAAAGGGCUGGGAGACUCCCCGUUAUACACCAAAAAAUUCUACAGUCGUGGCUGUUGACUGCAGUUCCAACUACACGUGUCUCUCUCCCAUGGAGAGAGGAAAGCUGCGUCAAGGCCAGCUCCCUGCACUGGCAAACCUGGACUUGAUCGGGUUCUCUGAGGGAGCACAGGGCUCUGCUGGGAACCCCAUUACAGUCCUUUUGUGUCUGGAAGGCUCCAAAUGGCCCUUCCUGGCUCCUUAGUAAAGAAAGCAAGGUUCAUAACACACUGACUUGCUAACUCUUAAACAUUCAAACUAUUUUAUGCACAAUCUCCUCCUGAAUACAAGAGGAAUUUCAACCUUAGCGAUAACUUUUCAGCCAGACUUACAAAAUAAUUC
rnacentral:lncRNA from 1 species